GACGAACGCUGGCGGCGUGCUUAACACAUGCAAGUCGAGCGAUGAAGCUCCUUCGGGAGUGGAUUAGCGGCGGACGGGUGAGUAACACGUGGGUAACCUGCCUCAUAGAGGGGAAUAGCCUUUCGAAAGGAAGAUUAAUACCGCAUAAGAUUGUAGCUUCGCAUGAAGCAGCAAUUAAAGGAGUAAUCCGCUAUGAGAUGGAACCGCGUCGCAUUAGCUAGUUGGUGAGGUAACGGCUCACCAAGGCGACGAUGCGUAGCCGACCUGAGAGGGUGAGCGGCCACAUUGGGACUGGGACACGGCCCAGACUCCUGCGGGAGGCAGCAGUGGGGAAUAUUGCACAAUGGGGGAAACCCUGAUGCAGCAACGCCGCGUGAGUGAUGACGGUCUUCGGAUUGUAAAGCUCUGUCUUCAGGGACGAUAAUGACGGUACCUGAGGAGGAAGCCACGGCUAACUACGUGCCAGCAGCCGCCGUAA
rnacentral:rRNA from 1 species